rnacentral:rRNA from 1 species
UACGUAGGGGGCAAGCGUUGUCCGGAAUCAUUGGGCGUAAAGAGCGUGUAUGCGGCUCGGUAAGUCUGCUGUGAAAGUCCAGGGCUCAACCCUGGAAUGCCGGUGGAAACUGUCGGGCUCGAGUCCGGAAGAGGCGAGUGGAAUUCCUGGUGUAGCGGUGAAAUGCGCAGAUAUCAGGAGGAACACCAAUGGCGAAGGCAGCUCGCUGGGACGGUACUGACGCUGAGACGCGAAAGCGUGGGGAGCAAACAGG